rnacentral:rRNA from 1 species
UACGAAGGGGGCUAGCGUUGCUCGGAAUUACUGGGCGUAAAGCGCACGUAGGCGGCUUUCUAAGUCGGGGGUGAAAUCCUGGAGCUCAACUCCAGAACUGCCUUCGAUACUGGAAAGCUCGAGUCCGGGAGAGGUGAGUGGAACUGCGAGUGUAGAGGUGAAAUUCGUAGAUAUUCGCAAGGACACCAGUGGCGAAGGCGGCUCACUGGCCCGGUACUGACGCUGAGGUGCGAAAGCGUGGGGAGCAAACAGG